rnacentral:rRNA from 1 species
AGCAGCCGCGGUAAUUCCAGCUCCAAUAGCGUAUAUUAAAGUUGUUGCAGUUAAAAAGCUCGUAGUUGAAUUUCGGGAUCAAUAUGUCGGUCGUGCCUCGGUACGUACUGGCAUCAUUGGUUUCUCCUUUCUGAUGAACCAUGAUGUCAUUAAUUUAGUGUCAUGGGGAAUCAGGACUGUUACUUUGAAAAAAUUAGAGUGUUUAAAGCAGGCUCACGCUUGAAUACAUUAGCAUGGAAUAAUGAAAUAGGACGUUUGAUUUUAUUUUGUUGGUUUCUAGGAUCGAUGUAAUGAUUAAUAGGGAUAGUUGGGGACAUUAGUAUUCAAUUGUCAGAAGUGAAAUUCUUGGAUUUAUUGAAGACUAACUACUGCGAAAGCAUUUGCCAAGGAUGUUUUCAUUAAUCAAGAACGAAAGUUAGAGGAUCGAAGACGAUUAGAUAACGUCAUAGUCUUAAUCACAAACUAUAGCCGACUAGGGAUCAGAUGAUGUUAAUUUUUUAAAUU